UCUCGGCUCACUGCAACCUCCGCCCCACCAGUUCAAGUGAUUCUCCUGUCUCAGCCUCCCGAGUAACUGGGAUUACAGGUGUGCAUCACCACACCCAGCUAAUUUUUGUAUUUUUAGUAGAGACAGAGUUUCACCUUGUUGGCCAGGCUGGUCUCGAAUUCCUGACCUCAGGAGAUCUGCCCACCUCGGCCUCCCAAAGUGCUGGGAUUACAGGCGUGAGCCACGACACCCGGCCUAGGCUUCCUUCUUUAAAGACAAAUUUCCAGUGGGGCUCUGUAAGUAAUCCUCAUAUUUUCUCGUUGAGGAGUGUGGCCAGAGAAGGUGAGUCUUCUGCACGUAGCAGGGGGGAAAUGGUCAGGAGAUACUGUAAAAGCACUAAGAAAACCGGAAGGAAAAGGCCAGGCUCCAGGAGCACAGAGACUGGAUGGAUUCCUGCUUCCCUGUCACUCGGCUCUGUUCAGGCGGUGCAGUCACUUCCUUCACCUCAGUGUCCCUGUUUGUGCAAAUGAGGUGACUAUUGGUGCCGACCUACUUCCCAGGCAGUUUUGAAGAGAAGUGGCAAACGUUGAAGGGCGCACACUCUCCUUCCCCAAGCUCCCUCCCUCCCCACGUGUGCACCCAGAAGGAAAUAAAAGCCGUAAUUUGCACUGGCGAGUCGGCCCGCCUCGUCGAGGGUUCCGCUGAGCUGCUCACAAGGGCGUGCGGAGGCCCGCGGCCGGCCCUGGCCCCUGUGGUGGCAGCAGCUGGCUGGCUUCCCGGGCGGCUACCUCCAGCUGCAGCUGUCGGUGCUAUUUGCAGCUCUCCACAUCCUGAGAGCUGGACGCCGAGGACCGCUCCCUGGAGGGCGUGCGUAAAAUGCAGCAGCGGAGCGGUGAGGAGAUUACCGGAAAAACUGGGAGCGGAGUCAGGCUCGUUCUGGAGCAGGGAGAGGCUUGGGAAGUUGCGAAACGUUGACCUGCAGGGUCUUGAGGAACUGUCGGCCUGGGCUGUCCCCGUGGGUCAUUGAACAUUAAUCAGCCACCAGUCCUCGACCAAGCCAACCGAAAUAGAGUCAGCAGGCAGAAUGACGAAUACAGUUUGAAAGGGAACGAACUUACUCUUAUUCUCUCCUUGGAAAGGCCUUUCCAGACUCUCGAACUCACCCCUGUCACAUUACCCUGUUGUGUUAUCUUUGUGGGCCUGCGCAGCACCUGAAAUGAUCUGUCUUAGAGUCAUGGUCUUGCUAUAUCACCCAAGCUGGAGUGCAGUGGCAUGAUCAUAGCUCACUGCAACCUUGAACUCCUGGGCUGGAGCAAGCCUCCCAACUUGGCCUUCCAAAAUGCUGAGAUUGAUUACAGGUGUGAGCCACCUCACUGGGCCUCUUGCUAGUUUAUUGUUUAAAAAUCUUCCUCAGGGCCGGGUGCAGUGGCUCAUGCCUGUAAUCCCAGGCCUUUGGGAGGCUGAGAUGGGAGGAUCACUUGAUCCCAGGAGUUUGAGACCAGCCCGGGCAACAUGGAGAGAGCCUGUCUCUACAAAAAAUCAGCAAUUAGCUGGGCGUGGUGGUGUGCACCUGUAGUCCCACUACUCAAGAGGCCGAGGAGGGAGGAUCACUUGAACUCAGAGGGUUGAGGCUAUAGUGAGCCAUGAUUGAGUCAUUGCACUCCAGCCUGGGCGAUAGAGUGAGACUUUGUCUCAAAAAAGAAGAAUAAAUAAAUAAAUAAAUAAAUAAUAAAAGCCUUCCUUAGACUUUUUCCCUGGCACUUUCUGAAGUGAUGGCAGAUGGGUUUUAUUCUGGUUCUUAUAAUAGCUAAAAUUGGGUCACAGAAAGGAAUCUAGAUUAGAUGACAAGAUUAUUAUUUUCAUCUGAUAAUUUCCAUUACUCACCUAACUGCUGUCUUUCCUGGAAUUAAAGAGAAAAGAAACUAUGGAGGCCGGGAGCGGUGGCUCACGCCUGUAAUCCCAGCACUUUGGGAGUCCGAGGUGGGUGGAUUGCCUAAUGUCAGGAGUUCAAGACCAGCCUGACCAACAUGGUAAAAUCCCGUCUCUACUAAGAAUACAAAAAAAAAAAAGUAGCCGGGCGUGGUGGCGGGUGCCUGUAAUCCUAGCUACUCAGGAGGCUGAGGCAGGAGAAAUGCUUGAACCUGGGAGGCGGAGGUUGCAGUGAGCCAAGAUCGCACCAUUGCACUCCAGCCUGGGCAACAAGAGUGAAACUCCAUCUCAAAAACAAACAAACAAACAAAAACUAUGGAGACCCAGGUUCCAGGGCCCUUGGGUGGAGAAUAAAUUUUAGGAAUUCCUUUGGAUAUCUGACAGUAGAAGCUAUUCCUUGUAAGUCUGUUGCUGUGAAAUCACAACAUAGCUCAUUUAGCAGCGGGACAGCCCAUCUCUGGAAAAAAAAUGGUGUGAGGGUGGAAUUACGCCUUGGGAGGCCAAGGAGGGAGGAUUGCUUGAGGCCAGGAAUUCAAGACCAGCCUGGACAACAUAGCAAGACUCUGUCUCUACAAAAAAUAAUUUUAAAAAAAUUAGGCAUGGUGGUGCAUGCCUGUAGUCCUAACCUACUUGAGAGGCUGAGGUAGGAGGACUGCUUGAACCCAGGAAGUUUAGACUGUAGUGAGCCAUGAUUGUGCCACUGCACUCCAGCCUGGGUGACAGAGCAAGACUCUGUCUCAUAAAAAAAAAAAUGAAUAAAUAACAUAGAAAAAAAGAUAUUCAUAAUAAAAUAAAAUGGAAAUAUUUUGAUGAUUUCUUAGUGAGAUUUUAAGAAUUGUUAUUAAUAGCCUACUAAGACCUAGAGGUAAGAACAAAUUAGAUUUGGCCUGAAAAUGAAGAUGUAGCAAAAAACAAUAAAGAAAAAAAUGGCAUCUCUGUUUUUUGUUUUUUGUUUUUUUUUUCAGACGGAGUCUUGCUCUUUUGCCCAGGCUAGCGUACAGUGGCAUGAUAUCAGCUCUCUGCAACCUCUGCCUCCUGGGUUCAAGCAAUUCUCCUGCCUCAGCCUCCCAAGCAGCUGGGAUCACACGCAUGCACCACCAUGCACUGCUAAAUUUUAGUAUUUUUAGUAGAGACAGGGUUUCAUCACAUUGGCCAGGCUGGUCUCAGACACCUGGCCUCAAGUGAUCUGCCUGCCUCGGCCUCCCAAAGUGCUGGGAUUACAGGCGUGAGCCACCGCGCCCUGCCAAAAUCAAUAUUAUUUUGAUUUUUUAGUAGAGACUGGCCUGGGUCAGUUGAUUCUUAAGUACAGUUAUUUAAAAACCUUUAGGACCUUAACAAUUUUUUUAAAAACUCCCAAGUUUUAUAUUUUUAUUUAUUUAUUUAUUUAUUUUUGAGACAGAGUUUCACUCUUUCGCCCAGGCUGGAAUGUAGUGGUGUGAUCUUGGCUCACUGCAACCUCUGCCUCCCGGGUUCAAGCGAUUCUCCUGCCUAAGCCUCCCGAGUAGCUGGGACUACAGGUGCAUGCCACCAUGCCGAGCUAAUUUUUAUAUUU
rnacentral:lncRNA from 1 species